rnacentral:lncRNA from 1 species
GUGAGACUUAUCUCUUAAUCCAACUAUAUUUACAUUUGCUUCUUCCCAACACUAACCUCCUGUUCUCUUGCCACUGAAUUCAAUUUUAUCCCCACCUCUAGGCCUCACUGAAAAGCCAUCUUUCUUAUGAAAACCUCCCAAGUAUUUUAGUCCAUAAUGUUUUUUUUCCCUGCAUUUAUGUUGACAUUAGUCAUUUGGACUCAUCAGUGAAUUAAACAGUUACUUGUUGAGUGCUAAAAAUAUGCCAGGAACAUAAUAUAAAUAAGUGUUAUUUGAUUAUAUGCUCUUUUAUAUUUCUCACUUAUUUGUAUAUGUAUUUUCUUACUGCCAAAAGUCCCUGUAAGAACUGUUUGUUUUCUUACAGAAUUGGGCACAAAGUAGGAAUGCAGAAGAUAUAUCUUGAAUUCACUGAAGUAUAUUCAUGAUAAACUUAACCUAGGAUACAAAUCACUUGGUAACUUGUCAACUUAUGAUCACUCACUGUAUUAACUGGGUGAUGAGUCUUCUUAAUAAUAAGCAUUUUUUAUUAUGCUUGAUUGAUCAAAUUAAAUCUUGCAUCGUGACAGAUUUUGUUUAAAAGUUUUUAUUAAUAGGUCUUUUUCAUAGCUCAAAAAGGGGGAUACAGAUGAUAAUCAGCAGAACAACUGAAAACAAAACCUCACCUCUAUAGAGUUAGCCAGUGUGUAGACUUUAUUACAUAGGCACAUAUUUUUUAAGUAAACUUUUUUACAUAAAAUAAAUCACAACACUGAAUGAGGAUGGAUGAUGAAGAAAGGAAAACCCAAGCCUUGGACCAGCUGAAUCGUUCACUAGGACCCUGGGUCCCUCCAUCCGGACAUAUUGAAAUUCACGAUGAGCAUCACAAAUGGACAGUGAGGAGGGGGUGCUCUUUUAUCAUUUCCAGGCUUAAAACACUGGUUGUUUCAUUUCCUGAAUAGGGUAAACUUUCUCUAGGUUCUGUUGGCAGGCUGGCACAAAGGUUAAAUGAAUGCUGACUCAGAGUGAGAGCUGUUCAUAUUCUUCCCUCUGCUACCCCAGUACUUCAAAACCCUUAGACGCUCUGGUCCAACUAACUGCUUGCUGUCAGGACCUGAGUGGACAUCUGCUUUCCCACAGCUGCUCCCCUUGGGAACCAUAUGGGGGCACUGACCCUGAAGCACAUGGAGGCAAGACCACAGUGCUUAACGCUUCAGUCACAGUGUGGCUAGAGGGAGUCCGCAGCCAGCGCUGA